AACAACCUGGCGGCAGGCCUAAUACAUGCAAGUCGUACGGGAGCCGGGCUUCGGCCUGGUGAGAGUGGCGCACGGGUGAGUAACGCGUGGGAACCUACCCCGGGGUGGGGGAUAACCACUGGAAACGGUGGCUAAUACCGCACGAUCCCUGCGGGGCAAAGUCGCAAGACGCCCUGGGAGGGGCCCGCGUCCGAUUAGCUAGUUGGCGGGGUUAAGGCCCACCAAGGCGAUGAUCGGUANCUGGUCUGAGAGGAUGAUCAGCCACACUGGGACUGAGACACGGCCCAGACUCCUACGGGAGGCANCAGUAGGGAAUAUUGGACAAUGGGCGCAAGCCUGAUCCANCCAUGCCGCGUGAGUGAUGAAGGCCUUAGGGUUGUAAAGCUCUUUCGGCGGGGACGAUGAUGACGGUACCCGCAGAAGAAGCCCCGGCUAACUUCGUGCCAGCAGCCGC
rnacentral:rRNA from 1 species